GGGGGUGAUUGGUCUCGACUUCGGUCGUGAGGCCAGGGGAAGCGAGCCGAGGAAGCCAACGAUGAUCUCGUUAACCAUCCGUUGGAAAAAAAUCAAGCGCCGAUUCCAAUCAGCGCGACUUCGCUCUCGCUGCCUAACAGCAGCUAGGCGAGUCUGUCAGCCCGGGUUCGCCUUCGACCCGGUUCCUGGCAUCAGCUAGGAGGCUCACCGUGCGGAUCGGUCGCGGAUCCGCACGGGACAUCGCACAGCGACUGGGCCCGUCACACCGGCUCGUCCGUGGGACCGGUGGGGUCGAGCAGAGACAGAGCGGACUGCGCUCGGAGAAGCCCUGGUGUUGCGUCGGAGGACGCGGGUUCGAUUCCCGCCACCUCCACCA
rnacentral:tmRNA from 3 species